AUAGUGAGCAUUAAGAUCAAAUAAAAAUUGUUAAAUUGUUAAAAUUCUGAAACAAUAGCAGACUCGACGCGGCCAUGAACACGCCUCCACGCAGACGCAUUCCCCGACCCAAAUACGACCGAGCACUCUGUGGCACGUCUUGAUGAAAGGCAAGCAUGCGGUGCCUUUUAACAUAUCUGAACAGUCCCGUGAAAAUUACUCGUACAAUUUGGCAUAAUUUUUAUGAGGCAAACAAGUGUGAAAAACGGGUAAGGAAAAAGCGGGUCGAACAAACGAAUGGAAAUUUCAAAAUCCUUUAGCGAGGAUCGAAUUUACUUAAGACUUGCGACUGGCCCCGGACCAGGCCAACAUAAAACAACAAUUAAAAUUCUUAGCGCAUGCGUGUUCAUAAGAGCUGGGCAACAAAGAGACCGCAACAGCAUUAAAAUUCGAUGCUUCCCCGUAGAUCCUAAAGCUACGAUAAGACUACGUUUGUCCCAGAGAAAAAAAGGGUACUUUAAAUGGAGCGACACAAUCAAACUGCCAGGCUGCAUAUUGAUAGUUUAGUUUUAGGAUUGGAUAAUGAGAAACGAAUGAGAACAGAAGAACGUAAUGAAUACCAACGGCAGAUGAGAAAUAAAAUGGAUGAAGCAAGCUACAUGUAAGGAAACAAAUCCAUAGAAAGUAUGAACAUAUCGAUCUGGGGAACUCUGUCUGUGUUGUCCAUCUGUUGAACCCACAAAGCCAGCCUAUCGCCAGAUGUGUAGAAUUGAGUCACAAUACAUUAAUGCGAAUUGCAUGUAACUUAAAUUAUUUGAGUACCUCUGAAAUAAAUCCAUAAAACCAUGCCCAUUAAAAAAAUAUGCAAUACCGUACGUAUAUAAUGAUUGCAAGCUUAGAAAACAAAGCAUAAGAAUAUAAUAAAAUAAGUGGGAGUUGCCCAAAAUAAAGAAAACAACAAAGAAAGAAACAGGAAACCAAACGUUUUGAUGAAUGGCUCAUAAUACUCAACGCACACAUGCAAACAUGCACAGCACACGCACAAAACCAAAUUGACGAAUAAGCGAAGCACCCAGAGCAGACAGGCGGACGAACGGUCCAAUGAGUCGGGGGCGAACAAUAGCAAAGAACCGAAAAUCUUAUAAAACCGAAAUUAAAAAAGCAACAACAGAAACGGCGCUCAUAACUGCGCGUGAGAAAGAGUCGCAGCGCGAGAGGUGGGAAGAGCUCGCGCAACAAAUGGCCGAGGCGCAGGCGUGCGUGCAAGUGAGAUGGCAGCUGUAAAAGGGCCGUACACUUAUAAGCAGGGGAUUCACAACCAGUUGCCGGGGCAUAUGAAUUAUGAUAAAUUAUUAACCAAGAGAAUGCAAGUGCGAGAGAGAAGGCAGAUCGUCAGACAGCGCACCCGAGAGCAGCCGAGUGUAUGUAUGUAUGUAGCUGUAAAAACGGCAAGAGCACGUUUACUACAAGCACAAAAACAAUGGCGCAAAAGGUGAGCGAGCCCCAGAGGCGGAAGGAAGCAGUAGCAGGAGCAAGGAAAGCGCAGCCAAGCCGAGUACCAACACCAACUUCGCUGCUUUUUUGAGCGGCGGCGAGCAGCGGCGAGUAUCUCUCGGCUUUUUUUUUGUCAAACAGGUAAGCAGAAACACCAGAGACUGAGCAUCCUUCGCUCGUGAGCGCGAGAGGGAGAGAGAGAGAGAGACAGAGAGAGCGAGGGUAACAAGCUGAGCAGAGGUGAGAGGUUGAUGGCAACAGUAACAGUAACAGCAGCCAUAGCUUCCAAUGGGUGCAAGUAAGACAACAAAAGGCUGACUGUCGAGCAAAAUUUAAUAAAA